CAGUGUGUCAUGAUGAUGUAGUUAAGAUUGUGAAUCUAGCAUGCAAAUAUAACCUUUGUAUCAUACCAAUUGGUGGAGGAACAAGUGUUUCAUAUGGCCUAAUGUGUCCUGCGGAUGAGACAAGAACAAUAAUUUCUUUGGAUACUUCACAAAUGCUUAAAGAAAGUGGUUAUUGUACAGGUCAUGAACCGGACUCCCUGGAAUUCAGCACUAUGGGAGGAUGGAUAUCUACCCGGGCAUCAGGCAUGAAGAAGAAUAUCUAUGGCAAUAUUGAGGACCUG